CCUACGGGAGGCAGCAGUGGGGAAUAUUGCACAAUGGGCGGAAGCCUGAUGCAGCGACGCCGCGUGAGGGAUGAAGGCCUUCGGGUUGUAAACCUCUUUCAGCAGGGACGAAGCGUGAGUGACGGUACCUGCAGAAGAAGCACCGGCUAACUACGUGCCAGCAGCCGCGGUAAUACGUAGGGUGCGAGCGUUGUCCGGAAUUACUGGGCGUAAAGAGUUCGUAGGCGGUUUGUCGCGUCGUUUGUGAAAACCCGGGGCUCAACUUCGGGCUUGCAGGCGAUACGGGCAGACUUGAGUGUUUCAGGGGAGACUGGAAUUCCUGGUGUAGCGGUGAAAUGCGCAGAUAUCAGGAGGAACACCGGUGGCGAAGGCGGGUCUCUGGGAAACAACUGACGCUGAGGAACGAAAGCGUGGGUAGCAAACAGGAUUAGAUACCCUGGUAGUCCACGCCGUAAACGGUGGGCGCUAGGUGUGGGUUCCUUACCACGGGAUCUGUGCCGUAGCUAACGCAUUAAGCGCCCGCUGGGGAUCGGCCGCAAGGCUAAACUCAAAGGAUUGACGGCUGGUAGAGUUGCGAGACGACGACGAGGAGGAGG
rnacentral:rRNA from 1 species